GCCUUCAGCCAGAAUGCUGGCUUUAUUUUUGCGGUUUAUGAGCUUGAGACAGGGAAUUCAUUUCCUUGGUAUAAUAUGACCCUCUGGAGAAAGUCUUGUCCAGAUAUAUUUUGCUCCCAAACGCCGCCCUAGAAGAAGGACUACACUGAAAUGAAACGGAGAUGAUUAAAGUCUGAUUUAUAGGCUGUACAAGCCCUGAAAGCAAGAACGGGGUUCACGGCAUCUUGAUACCCCCAUGUGGGGACGUUUUGGCGAUUUUAUUUACAAGAAAGGGAUUUUACACCGGAGAGGCUUUUAAAUAUGCUAACAGACUGGACCAGCUUUCUCAUCCCCACUGGCUGAUUAAUGAUUCCUCCAUGCCAACCCGGUUCUCAGAGACACCAAGGCCAGGAAGUGGCCUCCAGUGCUUAGAAUUCCAAGCAUUUGGUCCUCUGGAGAUGAGAAACCAUGGGAAGGCAGGGGCUCACUCACCCCUGUAUCCAAAAAGUUGAGGAUGGUGCCAAGGACAGAGACGGUACCAGGGACUCCAAAAAUACUGAAUGAAAGGACAGUAGAGGUGCUUUCCUGUGGGAUCCCCAAUCUCUCCCCGCCUUCAGGUGAGUCCUGCUGAUGCUCAGGCUGCCCUUGGAACAGGGACCUUGGCCAUAGUUUCCUUAUCUGUAAUAAUGGGAUGAGAAUUCCUCCUGCACAGGGUUGUUAGGGACCUCGUGAGGCAGCUUCUAUGGCUGCCUUUGGUGCUUAGUUUUCUCACUUUCUUCUUGAACAUGGGAGUGGGGAGACGGACUCCUAAGGGUAUGACACUUGAAGAUUUCAGGAGGGGGCCUGCAGGUUUAUGUCCUCACUUGUUUUACACCUCACAGAGGUCAGCGAAGCAGGGUAUCACCAAAGCCCCACCUGAUGUCUCUGGAAAUCGAGUACUCCGUGUCUUCACCAGGCCCAUGCCAGCUGUGAGGGGCAGAACCAGGUUUUCUGACACCAAACCCCAGGUUUCUUCCUGUGCUGGCAUGGGUCCUUUUUCUGACUUGGCCAGCAGCCUCUCAUAGAUGGGGGUCUGAUUAAAUAGUUCUGG
rnacentral:lncRNA from 1 species